GCGGGCCGCGGUCCUCCGCGGCCGCCCCCCUCCCCGGGGGGGUGGCCAGCGCCCGCCAGAGGACCAUCAAACUCCAGUCAGUAAACGAUGCAGUCUGAAAAACAUUUAAUAAACUAAAACUUUCAACAACGGAUCUCUUGGUUCUGGCAUCGAUGAAGAACGCAGCGAAAUGCGAUAAGUAAUGUGAAUUGCAGAAUUCAGUGAAUCAUCGAAUCUUUGAACGCACAUUGCGCCCUUUGGUAUUCCGAAGGGCAUGCCUGUUCGAGCGUCAUUACAACCCUCAAGCUCUGCUUGGUAUUGGGCACCGUCCUUUGCGGGCGCGCCUCAAAGACCUCGGCGGUGGCGUCUUGCCUCAAGCGUAGUAGAACAUACAUCUCGCUUCGGAGCGCAGGGCGUCGCCCGCCGGACGAACCUUCUGAACUUUUCUCAAGGUUGACCUCGGAUCAGGUAGGGAUACCCGCUGAACUUAA
rnacentral:rRNA from 1 species